AGAGAGUUGAGCAAGCGAUUCAGAACGGGGAUCAUGUUAGUACAGAGGAAACAGAGCACUAUCUGGAAAGCACUAUCAACAUCAUCCAAACCGUAGCGGAUCAGCCAGGAUUACCAACAGAAAUACAGGAAGAGUUACACAGAAACAUGGACUUUCUGAUCUGGUUGAAAGACGUCGACCUUGACGUAUUCGUGUUUGAGGAGGCAAACCCUCAAACACGAAACCGUCAAAGGAUGGAGUACAGGGACAGGUUAAAAGUGAUCACCAACUCGAAUCUUGGUGUUCAGAGUUUAUGCAUGGAGUGCCCGUGCUGUUAGCGCACACAUUAUGGCGGGGUUAUUAUUUUUACAAUCAAAGUUUACGUUUUACACCGCAUGUAUUAAGACUUAUUUUGCUGCUCUUUUGCUGAAACUUGUCUUAUUCACCAGGAUGUUCUCGUCUCCGGAUGAGCAAAACAUUGAUAUGUACAUAUAUCCAUUAUGCUUGGUUGAAUCAAGGUGUUGGUGAUGAAAAUAUAUUUAUGUCUUUGUUGAAGUCUAGACUUAAUGAUACAUUUAUCCAAAACUGGAGGUCAGAACUUAAUUACUCGUCACGUGCAAGAACUUAUACAAUGUUUUGUAAUUUUAUGUUGCAACCUUAUUUGACAAAUGUUAAUAUAUAUGUAAAUUACGAGUAUCAUCUCAUAGAUUAGAAAUAAAAGCAGGAAGAUGGCACAGACCCGAACCAAUAUCUUUUGAAAAUAGAAAAUGUAUUGUGUGUGAUGUUUUGGAAGAUAAAUUUCAUUUUAUUCUUGAAUGCCCUCUGUAUAACGAAUUACGACAUUCAUAUAUCAAUAAGUAUUAUCGGAAUAGACCAAACGUGCCAAAAUUUGUUGAAUUAAUGCAAUCCGAAAAUGUUAAAGUGAAUAGAAAUUUAGCCAUGUAUAUAAAUUAUGCAUUUAGUUUAAGAAACAAGUAUCAUUAUUAUUAUGACUAGUGAUAGCCUAUAUAUAAACGUUAUUUCACACUGAUCUCUCGCUGUCAUAUAUUGUCAUGUAUUGAUUUUACUCUACAUGUAUACAAUAGUUAUUAGUUUUGUAUUUUACGCGAUGUCAUAUAUGUUCUGUAUAUUAUAAAUAUGGCAUUGAUCACUUGACAAUUUAAAUAUAUUUAUUAUGUUCUCAAAUGUAUACACAUGGACAGUAUGUCUACAUGUAUUUCUGAAUAAACCAUAUCCAUCAUUAGUCUCAAGAGAUGCAAAGAAUGUUCUUUAAGCUGGAGAAGAAAGGAAACUACUUGUGAACUCUGUUUUUAAAAAUGAAAACACAAAUCAAAUGGAAAGAUUAGUUCCACUUGUUUUCCGUCCACUUGGUUUUAUGACUCGAGAAAGAGGUGUAUAACAAACAUAUAUGUAUAUAGAUGCAACUUUUGGUGAUAUGUUUUAUUUCUUUUUAUAUGAUUUGAAAGUAUCGAGAGAAAUAUGACAACAGUGAUUUAUGAUAUAGAGUGCUGUAAAUAUGUUAAUGAUUGUUUUCGUAUUUUGCAUUUAGAUGUAUAGUGUUUAAUUUUGCAAGUUAUAACCAGAUUUUUAGAGUAUAUAAACUAGCAUCAGGUGAAUUGUCACAAAUGACCCUAUACAUCAGCAGGAGCAUGACUUGCUGAUCUAUAAGCUGAUGUUAAUCGAUGGUUAUACUGCCGUUGAUGUAAUAUUAAUGUUUCUGUUUGAUGUAAACUGUUUAAAACCGAUCCAAAUGACGGCUUUUGCUGCAUUGUGUUGUUUAUAAUAUGUUAAUGUUAAUGCUGCAGUUGGCUGCUGUUAAUUCAUGUUAAUGUUAUUGAAACUGAAUGCUACACAUAUGUAAAACAUUUAAACACAUUUUAAAGGCCCACAAUAAAGGUUGAUGCCAAAUAAUGUUGUCUUUGUUCAACUUUAA